rnacentral:hammerhead_ribozyme from 1 species
AUCCACCUGAACAGUCCCAAAUAGGACGAAACGCGCGUCCUGGAU